CCUACGGGUGGCAGCAGUGAGGAAUAUUGGUCAAUGGACGAGAGUCUGAACCAGCCAAGUAGCGUGAAGGAUGACUGCCCUAUGGGUUGUAAACUUCUUUUAUAUGGGAAUAAAAUGUUCCACGUGUGCGUUUUUGUAUGUACCAUAUGAAUAAGGAUCGGCUAACUCCGUGCCAGCAGCCGCGGUAAUACGGAGGAUCCGAGCGUUAUCCGGAUUUAUUGGGUUUAAAGGGAGCGUAGGUGGAUUGUUAAGUCAGUUGUGAAAGUUUGCGGCUCAACCGUAAAAUUGCAGUUGAUACUGGCAGUCUUGAGUACAGUAGAGGUAGGCGGAAUUCGUGGUGUAGCGGUGAAAUGCUUAGAUAUCACGAAGAACUCCGAUUGCGAAGGCAGCUCACUGAACUGCAACUGACACUGAGGCUCGAAAGUGUGGGUAUCAAACAGGAUUAGAUACCCUUGUAGUC
rnacentral:rRNA from 1 species